CCCUUAGAUGUUCUGGGCCGCACGCGCGCUACACUGAUGCAUUCAACAAGCCUAGCCUUGACCGAGAGGUCCGGGUAAUCUUUGAAACUGCAUCGUGAUGGGGCUAGAUUAUUGCAAUUAUUAAUCUUCAACGAGGAAUGCCUAGUAAGCGUGAUUCAUCAAAUCGCGUUGAUUACGUCCCUGCCCUUUGUACACACCGCCCGUCGCUCCUACCGAUUGAAUGUGUUGGUGAGGAGCUCGGAUUGGCAGCAGUUGUUGGUUCGCCACCGGCUAUUGCUGAGAAGUCCUCCAAACCGCCCCAUUUAGAGGAAGGAGAAGUCGUAACA
rnacentral:rRNA from 1 species